UACGUAGGGUGCAAGCGUUGUCCGGAAUUAUUGGGCGUAAAGAGCUCGUAGGCGGUCUGUCGCGUCGGCUGUGAAAUCCCGGAGCUCAACUCCGGGUCUGCAGUCGAUACGGGCAAACUGGAGUACUGCAGGGGAGACUGGAAUUCCUGGUGUAGCGGUGAAAUGCGCAGAUAUCAGGAGGAACACCGGUGGCGAAGGCGGGUCUCUGGGCAAUAACUGACGCUGGAGGAGCGAAAGCGUGGGGAGCGAACAGG
rnacentral:rRNA from 1 species